GUUCCCUUUGGCUGUGGAGGAAUAUUUUAUUAUAGUGACCAAAGUCGGGACUACAUGUCAUGUAACACACUGCACCAUAUCUAUUACACAUUUCUUUGAAACCAUUACAUCUGUUGCAGAAAUUGAAUCAGUGAACCUUAAAACAAAGCAAUGCUUGCAACCCUUCCUCAUCAAGACUGGAUCACCAUCCAGGCAGAGGGCAACUGCCCUGGGGCCUGCAUGCUAGUUGAUUAUGGUAAUUUAAUUAACUUCAAAUUUGUUUGGGAAUUUGUACCUCUAAAGUACAAUUUCCAUUAAGGCUGUUGCUAACUUACUAAUUAAUCUUUUGGCCAUGUCUUGGAGAGGGAUCUUGUGUUACCUUAUUAGAGCUUUGUUGUUCAUUUCGUCCUCACAUGAUGCAUUUUCCUGAUCGAGUUGUAUUUAAUCAAAUUGCCACAAAGCAACACAAAUUUAAUAUUAUUUCCGCAUGGGAGUGGUUGCUCCAGACUUGAACUUGUAGGUGACAGAUAAUAGCUCGGAGGGUGUUGGGUGGAGGAUCAGUAGGGGCUCAACAGCACAAGCCGAAUCCAAAUGUCCACCCUUUAUUUAUUUGUUUUUACAUCAUUACAACCUCAUUGCUAUACCAAGCCAAGUGAAGUCUGGACGCCAAGCAGACUCUGUGGAAGUCUCUCUGAGGCCCUUGUUGACUUAAUGAAGUGUGGAUUUGGACAGUUCACCUCUGCAAGUGCUUGAAGGCCAGACAUUUGGAUUCAGCCAAAUUCUCAUCCAGGGCUCCAAAGAGGUUAUGCUGUCCAUGCUCCUCAUAGGUUUCACAUAGUACCACUUGUUGCCAGUUCAACCAGUGAUUUUCCUUCAAAUUUCCAUAAAAAAGGUAAAAUUCACAGAAAUUCAUAAGUAAAGAAACAAAGAUUAUAACAGAUUCAGAAAAAAGAAAAACAGAAUUUACUGUUAAAUUGAUAUGUCUUUCUACUCCCUCCAGCGCGCUGGGCAGGCAGCAGCAUUUAACUUGUUUCAGAUGAGCAUUUUCAUCGGAGACAACAGGUCGCCAUAUUUGUAUACAUCAUCCACUGACCAUAUCCGCAGUGGAGAUCCGGAGCGACUGAUGUCACCAUGGAAACGCACAUUGGCGAACAACAGAUCUGCAAGACUCUCGCAGGUUCACUGAUCUCUAGCACACAUGGACCGUAUCCGUAACGUCCACGGCCCCGUCAACCAUAGUGCAGAUCUGUGCAUCCCAUCGCCGCGUUAAGGCUCGCUAGUCGGUCCAUUAGCGCCACAGUCAGAACAGCCUCUUGUUGAUUAUCUAUAGUAGAAUCAAUGAGUCUAUGUUCCCAUCAUGGUUGUUUCAGUUGAAGAGGUUUCUUCGUCCCUUGUGCGGGAAUACCUGAGUCGAAAGGGACUUAAGAGGACCAUUGCCUGUAUGGAUGAGGAGAAUCCACGCACAGAGACCAGUAUCAACAACAGGUCUCACCUGAGGCAGAUUCUCAAUAUGGACGGUCUCUACAGAGAGAAUAAGGUUCAGAGCUCCCCCCUAAAAACAUUACUGGAGAUUAUUGUAAAGCAUCACAUUUCGGGCCCUAAGAAUGACAAAAUCACCAGUAGUGACCGUGAUCCUCAGCGGUCUGCUACAGCUACCAGCUCACUUACUUCUGCAGUAACACCAACAGCAGUGAAUGCCACUAAGACAGAGGGGAGCACAGGAGCCUUUGUUAUUAGCAAACCCAUCAAAUUGAGGUCUGAUAUAAGGGAAACCUCCCCUUCUCAGCCUACAUAUACCUCAUUGUUGCCUGAAACAGACAGUCUCAGCUAUAAUCAAACAGGUUGCUGGGCCUAUCAGUCAGGACACCACAGAGGCUAUCCACUGUUGGCCCCUGUCCAGGACAAUGAGAGCUUCAUGAGAAGAGAGCCAGAAAAAAAGACUCCCAUCACUGAGAGCACUCAAAGGAGCAGAACUAAUCGAAUUAAACGUGGAAUGAUGGCUGGACCAAUAGCUAGUACACCUCAGGAAUCAAACAAAAAAAGGCAGAGUCAAAGGGUAGAAGUUCCCCCGCAGCUGCUGAGAAAAGAAGAAGACCACAGGCGAUCUAGGGAUGGACUUGCAACAACCGGCUUACAUGCAAAAAGCUUAGAAAGUAGCCUAACUGAAAUGAACUGCGUAGGAGGGAGACAGGAGUUGCGAAGUGGAGAAGAGAGAAUGCAGAGUGAAAACAGCUUUGAAAAAGUGCGACAAGCCUCACUGAAGACAAGAAAAGUAAAGACCAGGCCAAAUGUAGCUGACUUGGAUGUGUCUGAGAUGGUGUUAGAUGAUAUUGAUGAUGAUGAGGAAAUGCAAGAUCUCUCCAAAGUGUCUUUUCAAAGAACCAUCGCAGAGCAAAGCUAUGCAGGCUGCCCGAUGGACCAACACACUGCCAUGGAACUGAAAGUGGUUCUUCUUGGUUCCAGCCUAAAUUGUUUCAGCAUUGAGUGGAGAAAUCAGGGUUUCACAUUCUCAGAAACACAUGACCUGAGAUACGGAAUUGUGCAGAAAAAGGGUGGUCCUUGUGGAGUUCUGGCAUCAAUCCAAGCCUUUGUUCUUAAGAAACUGCUGUUUGAAAACAUGGAAAACAGUAAUGCAGGCCUUCAGAGGUUAAGACCUUUCAGCAAUACCAGAAGAAAGUGUCUUGUUUUAGCUGUGGCUGAAAUCCUGUGGAGGGCUGGUGAGGAAAAACAAGCCACAAUUGCAAUAAGUUCAGGAAGAAAUCAUUUCACCCCAACAGGACACUACAAAUCUGAAGGAGUGCUUGAAAAGAUAAAAUGUUUCACUGUGGAUAAUAUCAAGGACCUGCAGUUGUUUCUGGAGCAGCACAUUGAGCAGUUCGAGACCGGUGGGUUAGGAUGCAUUCUGCUGACCAUAUCUGCCAUUCUCUCUCGAUCUAUUGAAAAAAUAAGAGAGGAUAUGGACGUGCCCACCACCACACUCAUUGCAGCCCAUGGUUACUGCACUCAGGAGCUGGUCAACUUGUUGCUCUGUGGCAGAGCAGUUUCUAAUGUCUUUGACAAUGACAUGGAGUUAGACUCAGGCAAUGGCAACAUGACUCUACUCAAGGGAAUCAAAGGCCACUGUGACGUUGGCCUGCUGUCCUUGUUUGAACAUUAUAACAUCUGUAAGGUAGGAGCUUACCUGAAGACUCCCCAUUACCCCAUCUGGGUGGUAUGCAGUGAAAGCCACUUCAGUGUGCUGUUUGGCCUGCAGAGGGAGCUGUUGACCAAUCCAGACAAAGGUCUGGAGUUUGACCUCUAUUAUUAUGACGGACUGGCCAAUCAACAGGAGGAGAUCCGCCUCACUGUCUUGGGGAUAUCUAAUAGCAUUGCAAGAGAAAUCAACCCCUUCCUCACCAUGUAUCAGGCAUACCAGCCCAUGCUGCUCUUCUUCUCUGAGGACAUGCACAAACCAAUUUAAGGGCUCAUCAUUUACAGGACUAAAUUUCUGAAGGAGAAGCACCUGCAAGAGGCCACAUCCAUGCUCAGCUCCCCCAUGUCCCUUUUCAGCACAGCAGUCUGCACAAGGACAGUUCUCAGAUUGAUACUUGAAUACUGAUUUGCAGCAGAAGCCCGGUCUUCCUAGAACAUUCCAGAGAGGCAGAGACUGGCAAUCAAGAUGGAGUGCAAGAUACUCUUGAUCACACUUCUUGAGAAGUUCCUGAAAAAGGCUCCAGUGCAUCCCACAGUAGUGAGAAACAUGCAGUGCCUUGUCCCAAGAUGCAUGGCUGAAUUUAUGGAACUGUGUGUAUGUCAGAUGAGAAGAAUGCUGCACUUGCUUGUUGAAGCUAAACACAUAGAUGAGGCAAUGUGUGAUGAUGUCCUCAGAGAGUUUAGGGAGUUUUGUGAUUCAGCUGCUCCUGAGGCUAAAUUCAGGGAAUUUGACCCCAAAACAGAUCGUGUGGACAGAGAAAAUGAGGACAAAACCAUCAUUUUCCAGAAUAGCAUGUGGUGAAGAUUCUACUUGUCUUGUCACAUGGACAGGCCACUGUGAAGAGGGGAUUUUCCAUUCACAAAGCCUUGACGUGUAGCUCAGAGGCUCAUUGUUGACCACAUCAGGUCUUUUGGGGGCAUGGUAGAGAUCAUGAAAGAGCUGCUCCUUUCAGCUGCAGGAGCCAGGCAGUACCAUGGCUACCUGGAUGGAGAAGGAGAAAGAAAGAACAUAAAGCUGUUGACUCGAAGAGAAAGGCCUUCGCAGAUGAGCUUGAUGAUUUGAAAAAUAAAAGGGCUAGGAUGAAUGCUCACAUUUGUGCCUUUGAGAAAUUUGUGGAAUACACUGAGAAAGUAGAAGCUAAGAACAAACUGACCUUCAUCACCUCAACAGUUUCUGCUGAACUCAAGAAGAAAAGAAAGCAUCUCUGCUGAAGAAUGAAAAGGUGUAUUGAUGAGAAGCUUGUAGAUAUGAAAACAUAAACUGUGUGGAUUGUUGUUUGUGGGGUUCAAACAGGCAAGGUUAUCUUCUGUUGAUGCUCAGUUAGAUUAAUGGUAAAAAGGAGGCAUUGUUGGUUUAAAAUCUUCUUAGUUACAAAAUCUUGUAUUCCAAAAGACAGUUUCUCUCUGACACUGCUGCCUUCUGAAGUUAAUGUCAGUGUUACAGGACUCUUUUAUAUACUUAUUUAUUUUUCAAACAUCGUUGUCUCCUGGUCAUUUAUCUUAAUUAAAGGGUUACACAAUGGAGUUCUCUGGGUUUGGCACAUUUUAUUCUGUAAACAUCUUACUGGUGUGUCAGUGUUACUUAAAUAAAUGUUUAUUUUGUAUAAAACCAUGUAGCUUUCAUUAAUUUUAUUUAAGAUGUACUGUGGUAAAUUUUGAUAUUUAUUUUUUUUUAUUAUUUUUCAUGUACACACAGGCGUUUCAGUGAAUGCAGGGUCAUGAAAAUUUUCCUGAAAGUCAUGGAAAUUUAUUGGUAAAAUGUGUAUGAACCCUAGUGAUUAUGAUCUAGUUCAAGCCAUUCUGACUAGAUGUUAAUACACAUUUAUUCU